rnacentral:lncRNA from 1 species
UUAAAGAUAAUAAUAAUUCUCAAUAGAAUUGUUAUAAUCAAAUACAAUAUCAAAUCACAUGAAAUUAAUGUAAAUCAACAAACACAAAUAGAAAUACUGACAACUUUAGCAAUUGAGGUUUGCAAGAAUUGCAAUAUCCUAAAGACAGAUUUUGCUCAUGUCCUUGUGCUCGCAAGUCUAUAGGAGUACAUUUCCCAUGAUUCAACAAUCGAUAAUCCUAAAUUGAAGCACUUCAAUUUAAAACUCUAGCAACCCAAUUAUAUAUUCGUACUCUCAAGGCACUUAAGAAGGAAACUUGAAGAUUGAUACUCUAACAUAGCAUGAGUGGAGAAAACUCCUUUCCAACACCACUUUGGAAUGUCAUAUAUCUUAGGUUUAUAUAGAACCUGGGUGACUUUUUUGGAAUAGCAAUGGUGGUUGUUCACUAAUUGACGCCACCCAUGCAAAAGGAAAGAUGCAACUCCCUUACUUGAAUUGCAUCAGGUUUGUAU